rnacentral:rRNA from 1 species
UACAGAGGUCUCAAGCGUUGUUCGGAUUCAUUGGGCGUAAAGGGUGCGUAGGCGGCGCGGUAAGUCGCGUGUGAAAGCCCCCGGCUCAACUGGGGAGGGUCACGCGAUACUGAUCGACUCGAAGGCAGGAGAGGGUAGUGGAAUUCCCGGUGUAGUGGUGAAAUGCGCAGAUAUCAGGAGGAACACCGGUGGCGAAGGCGGGUCUCUGGGCCGAUACUGACGCUGAGGAGCGAAAGCGUGGGGAGCGAACAGG